rnacentral:tRNA from 1 species
GUUGCGGUGAACGGGUGAUUAAGGCGUUGGACUAGAAAUCCAAUGGGGUCUUCCCACGCAGGUUCGAAUACUGCCCGGAACG